GACGAACGCUGGCGGCGUGCUUAACACAUGCAAGUCGAACGGAAAGGCCCUGCUUUUGUGGGGUGCUCGAGUGGCGAACGGGUGAGUAACACGUGAGGAACACGCCCUUGACUUUGGGAUAACUUCUGGAAACUGGGGCUAAUACCGGAUAGGAGCUCCUGCUGCACGGUGGGGGUUGGAAAGUUUCGGCGGUAGGGGAUGGACUCGCGGCUUAUCAGCCUGUUGGUGGGGUAGUGGCUUACCAAGGCUUUGACGGGUAGCCGGCCUGAGAGGGUGACCGGCCACAUUGGGACUGAGGUACGGCCCAGACUCCUACGGGAGGCAGCAGUGGGGAAUAUUGCACAAUGGGCGGAAGCCUGAUGCAGCAACGCCGCGUGCGGGAUGACGGCCUUCGGGUUGUAAACCGCUUUCGCCUGUGACGAGGCGUGAGUGACGGUAAUGGGUAAAGAAGCACCGGCUAACUACGUG
rnacentral:rRNA from 1 species